CACCAAACUUUGACUACCCUGGGUGAGGCACAGAGGAAGAUGGAGAAUGGGGUGAAGACCAAGACCUGGAGCUGAGAAUGUUAACAGAUCUUAUCAACAGGACACUGGAGAUAGACAACUGUGACGGGGCAGCUCCUGGGCGCUCUCUCGCGCAACAGACGCGCCGUUGUGAUGCAACUGUGGGAAAAGCCGGGGCAGUCUGGGGCUUGAGGCACUGGAAGCUCACUGGGUCCCCAGGGGGCUGCCUGGCUCUGCCACAAAUAAUAACAGGAUGGCUACGAUGCCAGUAGUAAUGGUGACGCUACUUCCAACAGAAGCAGCAGGAGCCUCCCCCAUGCGCUGGGCACUGGGCUAAGGGCUCGAGCCGCACCAUUUCACUGAGCCCUCCCGGCGGACCUGCCGAGGAGGUAGCUAUCACUUCCAUUUUUCAGACGGCAGGUGGUGUGAGGAGACAAGGCUCCUGGACUUUAAAACAGUGAUCUGACCUCACUGCGGCAGAGGAUUUUCCUGGGGUUUGGGGUAAACGCCCCAAUUCUAGAAGCCUUGUAUACUCAGGGCUAACUCUUCUCUCUCCUCUGAUGAGGGUGGUGAAGGUGACUUUGGCUUCUACCAAUGGCCUGGAAGACCAGUCAUCCCAACUCCAACCAGCCACCCAACUCCUCAAGACAAACAAUGCCUCUCAGCUUAAGAGCGCUGGAACCCUGAGCACCACAGACGCCCAGCUGCUCAAAAACCAAGCUGGCCAGUUGGAAAGGAAGGCAAACCAUGCCCAAAGAUGGUGUCCCAGUGGGAAGAGUGAGACAAAUUUCCGGGCGAGCUUAGUGGAUGCAUACAUAAGGCAACAGUUACUCCAGCCCAGAAAACAGCAAUAGAAAUAACAGUAAUAAUACGGAAAAUGACAAAAGCACUCAGUAAUGUCUGCAUUUACCAAGAGUUGGGCAUAAAACACUUCUGUUUGUGCACAAACAGUCCUUGGAGGGAGGAGGCUCUCCUGUGAGCAGCAAACUCCGCUGGGAAGCUUCUGACACUAUGGAGAUGCCAUCCAGACCUUCCGAAUGGGAAUACCCUGGCAAGGCUAAGUCAUCUGCAUUUCUGAGGCACCCAGCAGAUCAUGGGAUGGGGAAUACUCAGGCUCACACAGUGGGAGUGGGUUUGGGCACAGGCGUAACCAACGGGGCUGAGUUGGGGGCAGCAGCUUUGCCAUCAUCUACUUGGCCAAGCAGGGGUACAAUGGACCUCUGCUCUCCACCCCCAACCUCUACUCUUGGUCAGAGAGAAGGCUUGGAAUCAGACCAGGAGCCUUCUCCAAGGUGCUCAUACCCGGUGUCUCAGGAACAGCCUGGUUGAUUGGUGAUGAGGGAGUGUUGGCAACAAGCUCCCAAUUCCCCAGGCCCCAGCAAGUUCCAGAAGGAACCCAAAAAGUGAUCUUUAGUGGUGCCUGCCCUGGGCAGGCCCUGCUGUGCAGUGGGCAGGAGCCCAGCUGCUGCAGAUCUGAUUCCAGCAUCUGUGGUUGGUGCUAUUUCUGAGUCUGUAAACAGCACUGACAAUGCCUACUCCUUCCCUCCAUACGACAAUCCACACUUUGUCCAGGGCCCUGUUUGCUCUUCGUGUUGACAUGUUGUUCUUGCUUCCCGACAAGUCUGCCUUUCCUUUUCCUUCUCCUUCCUUCUUUCAGAGGCGGAAAUGUGUUGUUUACAAGGUAGGGCCUUCCAAGGAGCUGCUCAGUGCCCAUGAUGGCCAAGGAGGAGGCAGGACAAGGAUGCAGUCUGGAUCUGUGUCCCACCACCCCCCCCCCCCGACUCCAAAUGGCCAGACGAAAGCCAGAAAACAGUUUGGAGACCAACCCCCCACCCCAGGCUUGGGGACAGAGGUGUGUGUGGCACAUGCUCAUUUCCUGUUCUUGGUGGAUGGUGAGAAGUCAGCUUUGGUGGCUAGAAGCAGGCUCAGACUCCUCCUGCUCUGGUUGCUGGCUGUGGCUGGCGAGGGCACAGUGGGCCAUCACAGUCUUCUCCCCAGACACAGCGGGGGCUUUUAAACCCUAACUAGGGGUACCCUCGGACAAUGAGGUCCCAUGACAGCCUAAGCAAAGGUCUCCAGGGAGAACAGGUUGUGGCCAGCUUCCCCAGUGGAAGGAGAAGCAGGAGAGCACUGAAGAGGAACCGCUCAGGGCCUGGGCCUGGGACUGCCAAGUGUCUUGCACACAACAUCCAAAUGGGUGGACGGGGACAGGAGAAGGCGGGGACGUGUCCAGAGGACAGUGGUGAGUCAGCCACUGGGCUAGGACGAGAGCCCAGAAGUGAUUCCGAAACUUGGCCUGGAGUGGUGAGUCCACUCAGGACAGCAGCUGGGCAUCUUCUCCGAGCCCGAAGCCUCCCAUCGGGGCUGGGUGGGGAAAGGCUGGGGGUGGAGGGCGCCACCUGGGCGAGCUGUCAGACACCACACAGCUGAGAAAGCAUUACAGAGCUUAGAAAAAUAGUCUCAUAUUCGGGCGAUGUGACCCUCACGUGACCUCUGGGGCCGAUUUCUCCCACUUCAGAUCAACCCAGGCUGGGGAUGGAGGAACGACUCAGCUCUGGGCCGGGCUCCUGCUCAGAAGACUAACAGCUCAGUGUUGACAGACUCAAGGGAGAGAGGCUUGUUAAAGCUACUGGGAUGUGGAAUGCUGGGGGAAGGUGUGCAAGAGAGGACGCUGGCAGGCCUCCCCCAGGAGCUGAAGACCAUCGUGUAAAGCUCCGGAGUUGGCUGGCAGGCUUUACCAUCUCCACGAGGAUGAAAAUAGCAGAUGGGAGGGCAGAUGGAGUCAAGGUGUUGACCUCCGGAAACUGCGAAGCCUAUAGAAUUAGAGCAGGAUUCCUGCCUCUCCAGCUCCUCCAGGAAGCAGGGAGUGUCCACUGAGCUUGCCCUGGGGUUGCAGCCCGCCCUGCCUUUCUGUGUGCUGGGGCCUGGGUUUCCCUGGGGCUGGAGAGAAGGGGGGAAGGGAGGAGCAGCACCAAGAGAAGGUGGGUGUGGAGUGGGGCCACUCCACACCCUCCAGUGAGGUCCCAGAUUCCCUCACCUUCUGCCGUUUUCUCUCAGCCUCUCCUCUGUCACUCUUCUCUCAUGCAGGGUGUCUCUGCCGUGCCUUUUCCCCAAGAGAUAACAGGCCCAGGCUGGUAGCCAGAACAAGGUGCCAAGGCUGGGAGCGAGGGCUUCCAAAGCCGUUGAGGCUGAUGUAAGAAAGUCAUCCCAGCCCCUCCCCAUUCAGCGGGGAUCAACAGGGAGCGUUCAAGUAGCAGCCAAGCAAACAUAAGUCUGGAGCUCUUCACGUUCUUGGGCCUGCUGUAUUCAGCUCCUUCCUACUCCUCUGUUCCCCUCAGGCCUGGUACCCAGGGCCCAGGGAGACACCCCUGAUCCUGGGAGUAUAAGCAAGAGAUUCCUGAGGGGGUGGAGGGGAGGUCAGUCCCCUCCAUGUUGGGGUACUCCUGGGGGCCCGGGGCCCUUGUUCCAGUGGAGUGGCCCCUCCUUGGUACGUCCAGGCCUCCAAGAUGUCCUGCAGACUCCUGGGAGACAAGUAGCCCCAGAGGGAGCCUUAGAGGCCCACAAGUAAUUACAAGCCCAGGUUCCCACAAGCUAUAGGGAGCUGCCUCUGACCACAGUGGCAAGACCCUAAAGGGGAAGGCGGGCUGGCAGUCAGAAGCAGAAAGUGCUGAGUGCUUUGGAGGCAGGGAGGAGGGCUGCUCUGAGUGUUGGCUGAGGACUGGAUGGGGGCAGAGGCAGAGGGUUUCCCAGGGCUCCUUGGAAAGGGCCUGAGAAACCCCUCAGUGAGAGAGGGUGCAUGCUUGGGGGAGCGGGGCCCCAGCCAGCCUUCCUGGGAGCUCCCCUGUGAGCUGGCCCGUGGUGGACCACACUAAUGAGCCCAUAACACAGGCCUUUGAUUAAGCAGCUCCCAGCACAGCAACUUUAUUGAAACAGCCGAGGCCUGAGGCUGGUUCCCACCGCUUUGGUUCCCUGGGCAACAGCGCAUGGGAGGGGCCCUGCCCAGGGCUUCAGGAGCCCGAGGGGCUGCCCAAGGGUGAGAGGAGUGGGCCUGGGAGCACAACGCCAGUGGCCUGGGAUAAGGGGUUCUGGGACUGGGGUUGGAUUCAGAACUCUGGGGGCAUGGAGGGACAACGUGACAUCUGCCGAGACUUCUGGGGGCCAGGGCUCCUGGGCUUCUGAGAAUGGAGUUGGUGACCACCCCUGCCUCAGGGCAGGAAGGAAUUCCAAGGAUGGCAAGACUCCAGGGACAGGCUCAGAGGUGAAGAUGUAAGAUGUAAUGGGGGAGGGGGGAGUUUCUUCUUGAGUUUGGGGAGACCCUGGUCCCUAUUUUCCCAGGAACAUGGGCCAGAAUCUUCAGUACACAUUUCUGUGUAUCUGAGGACAUGCUAUCUGAGGACACUUCUGAGACCUGUGAGCAUAGUCACCUACUAGGAAUGAUGACCUGGGAACUCUACUCUCAGGGGAUGCUGGAUUCUCCCGCUGGGUCCCCACUUCCCCCUUCUUUACCAGCUCUCCCCAGGUAAGAGGCAGCCCUCCUCCCCUCCACAGAAGCAGCCUGGCCUUCCUGGGACAUGGCUGGGGCGGGUGGGGAGGCCUUUUCCACUUGCGCGGGGCUAGUUUCGAAUGCUAUGCUUCAGAGCUUUUGCUACAGUAACUACCAAGCCCACAUGGACAGAAAUCUAAUGUUACCAAGUGGGACUUUUAAAAUGUAUUUAUAACUUUAUGGUUCAAAGUAAUUUUGUUAUGAAACAAUGUAAUAACAGUGGAAAAAGGCAAGAUAAUUUAUGGAACACAAUAUUGCUAAAGCACUAGCUUUCUACCUCGCUUAGUCUGAGGAGUUUGGUUGGUGUCCUUUGUUUGCUGUUUGUUUUAAUUAAGGGUUAGUAUUUUGGGGGGGAGGGGGGAAGAGGCCUGAAGGAGGAGUAAUUCAGCUGCAAGCUCUCUCUCUCUCUCUCUCUCUCUCUCUCUCUCUCUCUCACACACACACACACACACACACACACACACACGCCCACAUUACCAGUAAGUAUGUUUCACAGGCCCCCCACACUAGGCUAAACCCACAAACCAGCAGAAUUCCCUUCCCCUCUACUAUAACCUCCCCUCCACCACACCACAAACAAGCACAGCCAAUUUCUGGAUUAGGGUCAGAUCCCCUUUCUUGAUAACUCCUGAGAGAGAGAAGGUAGAGUGCUUUCCUCUCAUACCCCCAACAAACAAAGAAGAAAGGAUGUUAUUCCCCUAAUAUGUCUGAGAGCACACCGGACCAGCCAAAUCCCCGUUAGAGCCCUGGGACAGCGUGGGGGCUGGGGAGGAGGCCCAUGACUCUCAGGCCCCAGCACCCUGCCUGGCAGCAGCUCUGGAGCUGUGCUCCAGCCAGAAGAGCCAAGGAAGGACAAAGUGUUCUGGACAAGCCAGCAGGUUUCUGUGCCGAAAAGCUGGCCAUUAGGAGGAAUAGGAGAGCCAUUAGAUGCAGGGAGUGGGGAGGCUCUGUCUGCUGAGGCCUGCCCAUCCCCUAAUCCGGGCCCACACACCCAUUUUCUAGGAAUUCUGGUGGGAUUUCCACAGAGCACUUGAGACUGGCUUUCAUCCUUCCUCCUCUCCCAUUUCACCGUCAGGUGUCCUGGCCUUUGGUUCACCCAGGGUGCGGAAAGUCUCACAUCUUUCAAAUCUGGAUUUCCCUGGCAAACCAAUGGCCAGGGCCUAGACCGUUAUCCCUGGUGUCUCGGGUGAUGGGGUGGGGGUUGGCCAGGAAGUGCUCCUAGAGCCGAUGGGACAGGCAGCAGCAGCCACACUCCACACGGCUUCCCACUACCAGCCCCUCUGGAAGGGAGCCACCGAGAGCUGCCAAGGGAGGAGAGGGAGGAGGCGGGUGCGGGAAGAGCCCACGGAAAGAAGGUAGGGAGAAGAAAAUGAGCCUUCUCACUUGUAACCAGGGUCCAUGGGCUGCGUAAGGGUGCUCCUCAGUGGCAAAGGCGCCUUCCACUCCCGUGGAAACGAAUGUGAUGGCCAUGUCACCUGUGAUACUUUUAUAUGUAAAGUGCCGUCCAUGCAGGAGCCUGCCCCUGGGGGUGGGAACACAGAGACUGUGAGCAGCAGGCCUGGCCAAGGGACAGGGUGUCUGGCAAAUGCCCUCCUGCCUGCCCACCUGCCCACCAACAGGGGCCUGUAACUGGACAUGCUCACUUCAGCACCUUCCCAGAGAAGCCUCGCCCGAGUUCACUACUGCCCCUGCUCCGAAGCGCUCAAGGCCAGCAGAGACAUCAGAUCAGCAUUCAGGGGGCCUGUGGGAGGAGCGGAGGACACCUCCUGUGUCCCGGUGAGGAAACUGAGGCCAGAGAGGGCAGUUAGCAAUGGGCACAAGGUCACCCUCACAACUAAAAGUGGGGUCAUAUCCCCUCUGUUUUGAGGGCAGCGGUGAAGUAGCAUCUAAACAAAUUCGCCAAGCCCCUGGGAGGACGGCAUAGUGCCUUCCCAGCACAACCCCUGUGUCCGCGCCAGUCUUCCACCUGCUCAUGGGCUCUCUCACAAGGUCAAAAUGGAUAGCUCCAAGGCCACAAGCCCACCUCAAGACAGACAAAUAAAUAAUAAUAAUAGCAGUAGCAGUAAUAAUAAUAAUAGUAAUAGUAAUAGUAAUAAAGGCUGACUCCAAAUGGGGACACUCUGAGGGAGCCAAAAGAAGUGACUGUUAAUCCCCAGUCUGGAAAUACACCUGGGGGAAGGGCAGGCAGGGACAACCUGUGAGGCAGAGAUGCACGUCAGCAAAGGAAGCCCAGCCUGCCCUUGGCUUUCCCAGGCUGCCUCAGAUUAACCCUUCACCAGUCAAAUGGUCCUGAGCUUGAGCCAGAGAGGGAGCUGGGGAGGAGAUGGCUGGGGUCCUGGUGGGGGGGCCUUCCCUGCUUCCAUUCAUUCUGACCACUUACUAUCUUUGCCCUGCUGCCCAGGGUGCCUGGCCAGUGCUGGUUAGCAUCCAAACUCCUUCCUCAGGCUCUGAGGACCAUGGGGAGGGACCUAACCAGGGCAACCCCCUUCUUCCUUGUCACUGUCAUCUGGGUUUAGAGUUAUUCUGGUCACCUCCCUGCUAUAAAAGUGAGGGUGGAAACCCCAAGGGCUCUGCAAGAAGCCAGCGGAGCAGACUCGGCCCAGGGCAACGUCCCCAAGCGGAGUGGGAAUUCUGGCCACAGGGCUAGGAUUCUGGCACUGCAGCCAGCAGCAGAAAGGACACAGCUGGGCUUCUCGGUCCCUCCAGGAGUCUGUUGUGCUGGCUGUGGAGUUUGGAGAAUGGAGUGUUUUGCACGGGAAAAGCAACGAGUAAAGAAAAUAAGAGUCCAACCCACCAGAGCUGCUGCCCUGCCCCACAGUGUGACCGACUCCAGCCUUGUGGGAUGGCGGGGGCAUCCGAGUUUGUCCGCUCUCCUAAGGGAGCGGCACCAAGGUCACCUCUCUGGACACACAAGUGUUCCUCAGCUCAGUGGGGGCUAUAGGCUGGCUCGAGUCCACAGGAUCCCCCCACAGGCCUAAGACAGAACUGCCUGACAGGCUCUCCUCUGGGGGUGGGGGGCAGACUCCACCCAGGUGUGGGGGAGAAGGCAAGCAGAGGCCUGUGGCUCCCUGAGGACAAGCUGUGUGCCGUGGGGCUCACCUUAGGCAGAGGGGAAUGAGAGCCCCUGACUCCUGGUUGAAUUUCAGAUGCACACUCUCGAGCUGUCGUGUGCGGAUGAGCUCGUGGGGAACGAUGGCCGUGGAGCUGUCGCUUUCCAGGCUGUCUUUGCGGCUCCUGCAAGGCAAGCAGAGGAAGAGGUUCAGCACAAGAUCAACACCAUGGGGAGGAGCAAGAUGGGAGUCUAUCAGGCUGAGCUCCUGAAUAACAACAGUGAUGGUGAUGGAGGACAGUGACAACAGCAGUCACCGUCUGCUGUGUGCUUGCCGAACGCCAGCUGCUGUGCAAAGCUCUUCUCAUGGACCACUCCUCUCCACAGCCCCAUGAGGUUCCGAGCAGGCACGAUCCCGCUAAUGGCCAGGAGCUGCGGUGACAUACACAGCCUCCAUCUGACCAGGACAUGAUACAAUCCUCAGGGAGCGGGUGGAAACCAGACUCUCAGGAGUCAGACUAGUGGGCCCGGCUGGGCAGCAGAAUCAGGCCACCAUCCUGCUGGGUUUUGAGGCCCCAGGAGCCGUGUACCAGAUUCCUCCCGACUAUGGCCUUGGCCACAGUGUGCUGUCACUGCUGCCUCAUGCUCCCUCCUGUCCUGCUUCCCACCAACAGCUCAUCCCACAACUGGGCCAUCGGGUCCCUUUGCAAUCUAAGAUAGGCUCUUUCAAAUUCAGCUGCCCCCACUGACAGCCUCUCAAAUCAGCCUCAGCCGGAAAUGAGUGUUACCCACUGAUCCUAUUCAAAAGGCCGGAUCCUGGUUUGGGCUGUGAAUCUCAGAACAAUUCCCCAAAUGUCCAUCAAAAUACUGGACGAGAAGCUCUAGUUAUUUAUCAUUCAAGGGGCAGGAGCCAUCUAGGAUGUCUAGGCCCACAGUCAGCCAGCCAAUGAGGGGCAGGUCCAACCCCCUCACAUGCUGGGGGGCUGAGCACUGGGGCCUGUGGCUAAGGGAGGCACCCCAUCAGGCAGAGAACCUCCCUGGAGGGAGAGUGUGAGGUCAGCAGGCAAAAGGAUGGUGGGUGGCAUCGGACAGCCCAGGGCCCUCCCAAGGCAGUGGUUUAUAAAAGCCCCAGAGCUAAUGGGGACCAUUCCCACAGCUGUGUGGAUCUAGCCCCAGAUAUAACGGCUCUUUCACAAAGUAGUCUCUUCCUCUGGUUUGCCAAAGCGAAUUCUGAAACUGCCCUGGCUUCUCCUUUGACAAACCCUUUCACAAGACCUGAGAAGGAGACCAAUGCUAUGGCCCAGACAGUCAUGGAAGUUCAAGACUGCAAGGAAACUCUGAGGUGGUUUAGUCUACUUCUUCCUUUUGCAAAAUAGAGACCGUAACGAGUCCAAGGCCACAGAAGCGGUUUGUGGCAGGCCAGCAUGGGAGCCCUGGGACCUCGGACUAGACCUCUUUCCCUCACAUGCCGGCUGCUACGUCUCCCUUCUGAGGAGGACAACACCCACCAUCAUCUCUCCGUGGGGGCCCUCAGGGCCCAGGCAAGAGCAGAACUUAGAAGAGUUCUGAGUUCUACUCUGCUCCAGAGCAAGGAGCCCACAUACUCUCUGGCUGAGUCCCAAGCAUGUUCUAUGAUCAAUCCUUCUCUCACAGAUGAGAAAAUGGAGGCUCUGAGAGGUGAGGUGACAAGACUGAGCUCACAGUGAGUUUAAGGGGAAGAGCCAGGGUGUGAUUCUCACAGUUGCCUCCCCGUGCCAUCUCCGACCACUGGCCCCGCACACAGACCUACCACCAUGUGCCCAAAAGGGGCCGAAGCCUGGCUGCUGGGCGGGGCCUCGGAACCCGUGGGGCCCACGGGAGGAUCAGGAUCGCUGCUUCUCUGGCACAAGCAAAAAUGCUGAUGAAUAGCAACUGGGGUGGGGGCAGGGGGCUGGGAGAGAAGAAUCAACAGCACACAGGGCUAGAGACAUCUCACGCUGGAGGGAAAAAUAAAUUGUUGAAAGUCAGCUAAAGUCACCUUGGUAACUGCUACAACACACUCACCCAGAACGAGGACAUCAAACCCAACUGCAAACAGCUUUAAAGAAAUGGAAAAGAACUUAAUCAUCUGAAGAAUUAAUGUGACAAGUGCCCACAUUUACACCUCCCACCAACCUUCAAUCAUUUGAAAACGCACUUUAAUCUUUUAAGAGAAAAAAAAAUUGCAAAAUGCUAGAUCUGCAAUCCUGGAGCUUGGGUAUUUCCGGCAUGCUGCUUCAAUGGAAACGCGGCCGUUCCACACACACACACACACACACACACACACAGGAGCCCAGCUUUCUGCUGAUUUGUUUUUUCUGGACAUCGAUGCAGAAGCAUGAAUUAUUUGUGUGGGCUGGGCGAGGUAUUAAAUCUGCAGCCGACACAGGUUUGCAAUGUUUUGCAUGGUUGUCAGCUUAAUCUUAGUCAUAAAAAAAUAAGUACUGUGCUCGCCAGCAUGGCCUAAUUUUUCAGUUGGGCUGUUUUCUCUCUGAGUUCCCAGUGGAGGAGAAGGCAGAGCUUCAGGGGGCUGGAAGGGAGAAGGGCUCCCAGGGAAGCACACCCUACACCCCCUGGGGACUGCUAGGGAUAUGGGCCCAGGGGAGGGAGGAUGAGUCACCACUCCAGGUGGCAGAAUGGCUAACACAUAGGUUCUGGGUUCGACUUUUCACUCCUGAGCUCCUGCUCAGGCAAAUGACUUACCCACUCUCUAAGCAUCAGUAUCCUCUUGAUGGGGAAAGAUAAUAAUACCCUUUCGUUAUAAGGAUUAAAUAAGAUGACCCACAGGAAGCAUUUAAUGGUGCCUGGGGAUGUAGUAGGUGUUCAAAAUACAUCUGGAAUGCAUUAACAGGAUGUCAGGUGACCGUCUCUAGAAAUCUGUCUGCUCUUCCUAUAAGAACGCUGAUAGCUUAGGGACACCUUAGUGGGCUCAGUGGCUAAAGCCUCUGCCUUCA